rnacentral:rRNA from 1 species
UGGGGAAUAUUGGACAAUGGGUGAGAGCCUGAUCCAGCCAUGCCGCGUGCAGGAAGAAGGCGUUAUGCGUUGUAAACUGCUUUUGCCAGGGGAUAAAAAGACCGUGCGCGGUUAAUUGAAGGUACCUGGUGAAUAAGCCACGGCUAACUACGUGCCAGCAGCCGCGGUAAUACGUAGGUGGCAAGCGUUGUCCGGAUUUAUUGGGUUUAAAGGGUGCGUAGGUGGCCCUGUAAGUCAGUGGUGAAAUAUCUCAGCUUAACUGAGAGGGUGCCAUUGAUACUGCAGGGCUUGAGUACAGAUGAGGUAGGCGGAAUUGACGGUGUAGCGGUGAAAUGCAUAGAUAUCGUCAAGAACACCGAUAGCGAAGGCAGCUUACCAAGCUGUAACUGACACUGAGGCACGAAAGUGUGGGUAUCAAACAGGAUUAGAUACCCCGGUAGUCCCUGAGCGGGCUGGCAAGGCGCAU